UGGGGAAUAUUGCACAAUGGGCGCAAGCCUGAUGCAGCCAUGCCGCUUGUAUGAAGAAGGCCUUUGGGUUGUAAAGUACUUUCAGCGGGGAGUAAGGGAGUAAAGCUAAUACCUUUGCUCACUGACGUUACCCGCAGAAGAAGCACCGGCUAACUCCGUGCCAGCAGCCGCGGUAAUACGGAGAGUGCAAGCGUUAAUCGGAAUUACUGUGCGUAAAGCGCACGCAGGCGGUUUGUUAAUUCAGAUGUGAAAUCCCCGGGCUAAACCUGGGAACUGCAUCUGAUACUGGCAAGGUUGAGUCUCGUAGAGGGGGGUAGAAUUCCAGGUGUAGCGGUGAGAUGCGUAGAGAUCUGGAGGCAUGCCGGUGGCGAAGGCGGCCCCCUGGACGAAGACUGAAGAUCAGGUGCGAAAGCGUGGGGAGCGAACAGG
rnacentral:rRNA from 1 species